rnacentral:rRNA from 1 species
AUACGGAGGGUGCUAGCGUUGUUCGGAAUUACUGGGCGUAAAGCGCGUGCAGGCGGCUGGUUAAGUCUGGUGUGAAAGCCCGGGGCUCACCCCCGGAAGUGCGCUGGAAACUGGCCAGCUAGAGUAUGGGAGAGGGAAGCGGAAUUCCUGGUGUAGCGGUGAAAUGCGUAGAUAUCAGGAGGAACACCGGCGGCGAAGGCGGCUUCCUGGACCAAUACUGACGCUGAGACGCGAAAGCGUGGGGAGCAAACAGGAUUAGAAACCCCGGUAGUCC